UAGUCCUAGCCGUAAACGAUGGACACUAGAUGCUGGAGGAAUUAAUCCUUCAGUGUCGCAGCUAACGCAUUAAGUGUCCCGCCUGGGGAGUACGCUCGCAAGGGUGAAACUCAAAGGAAUUGACGGGGGCCCGCACAAGCGGUGGAGCAUGUGCUUUAAUUCGAUGCAACGCGAAGAACCUUACCUGGUUUUGACAUGGGAGUGAAAGUUCCUAGAGAUAGGAGCCUUUCCUUCGGGAACACUCUACACAGGUGCUGCAUGGUUGUCGUCAGCUCGUGUCGUGAGAUGUUGGGUUAAGUCCCGCAACGAGCGCAACCCCUGUCCUUAGUUGCCAGCACGUCAUGGUGGGAACUCUAAGGAGACUGCCUGGAUUAACCAGGAGGAAGGUGGGGAUGACGUCAAAUCCUCAUGGCCCUUACGACCAGGGCUAGACACGUGCUACAAUGGGCGGUACAGAGGGAUGCUAACUCGCGAGAGUACGCUAAUCCCUAAAAACCGUUCUCAGUUC
rnacentral:rRNA from 1 species